rnacentral:rRNA from 1 species
CAAGGAAUUUUGGGCAAUGGGGGCAACCCUGACCCAGCGACGCCGCGUGAGCGAAGAAGGCCUUCGGGUCGUAAAGCUCUGUCUUUGGGGACGAAUGGGACGGUACCCAAAGAGGAAGCCCCGGCUAACUACGUGCCAGCAGCCGCGGUAAUACGCAGGGGGCGAGCGUUGUCCGGAAUCAUUGGGCGUAAAGGGCGUGUAGGCGGCUUUGAAAGUCGGGUGUGAAAAACCGAGGCUCAACCUUGGGAUUGCAUCCGAAACUUCAGGGCUUGAGGUCAGAAGAGGAGAGCGGAAUUCCCGGUGUAGCGGUGAAGUGCGUAGAUAUCGGGAGGAACACCAGUGGCGAAGGCGGCUCUCUGGUCUGCACCUGACGCUGAGACGCGAAAGCUAGGGGAGCAAACGG